UAUAGAGUGCAGCUUGAUGGUGCAGGAGUAAAAGGGAAUUCCGUGAAAAUCGGGAGUGGUCUCCGCCACUGUAAUCAGUGUUUUAGACAUUCGGGUCACUGUUAAUAAACGGGAAGGCUCGAUAGAUUAGUCUGCUGAAAGCCAGGAAACCUGCCAUGAAGGACUUGUAACA
rnacentral:ncRNA from 2 species